rnacentral:rRNA from 1 species
UCCUACGGGAGGCAGCAGUGGGGAAUAUUGCACAAUGGGCGCAAGCCUGAUGCAGCCAUGCCGCGUGUGUGAAGAAGGCCUUCGGGUUGUAAAGCACUUUCAGCGGGGAGGAAGGGUCACUAGUUAAUACCUGGUGGCAUUGACGUUACUCGCAGAAGAAGCACCGGCUAACUCCGUGCCAGCAGCCGCGGUAAUA